CAGGAAGUCUGCAGCAGAGCAAAGACAUGAACCUGUACUUGCUCUCAGGGGAUGUGCAUUCUUGGGCAAAAGAGAUUUCCCUAAGGGCAGGAUAACAGCUAAAUGAAAUGUAAAUGCUGGGAUUGCAUUAAGAUGCAGACCAUGUCUGCUGAAACUACUGCCUGCAAUGCUCCUUCAUGCCUGCAAUCAACAAAACAAACUUAGCACAGUUGUUGAAGAGAACAGAGGAUGCCAGCUUGUGUUCCUCCAUCUCACAGCUGUUCUUACCUGUGCCAACACCUGGAAAGCAAAAAGAUUUUUUGUGCUGUAAGAAACUGUUUGUACCAUAUAUUCUGCAACAGAAUGUUCAAAUAUCCAUGACAUUUCCCUGCAUUAUUUAACGUUUCUUUUCUUUAUUAAAUUUUCAUCCCUAAGACCUUAAGUUCAUUUUACUGGCUUCACGCAUUUCAAA